rnacentral:rRNA from 1 species
AUCUACCCUGCCUACCGACCGGUCAAAUGGCUCACUCCAGACUAUUGAAACUUCUCUUCCUGUCCCAAUUCGACGGGUCGAUGUUCCUCUGCUGCAGUUACCGUUGCGCAAGCUGGACGUUCAAACAUCGUCUCAAAACAACGCCACGGACAUCAGCAACAGGAGAAAUUUAUGGGGGACAACUUAAAGAAGGUGUAUAGAGGAAUAGUGCUGUUCCAAUAUGACUACUUUGAAGCCAAUAGUUCCUACAUGGUAUAUAGAUGACUCAUUACGAUUAUCAAACGAGAAACAACAGGUUAUGAAGAUUUAUACCUAACCAACGAGGUGAAGUACACUGAAGCACUCUCCACCCUAAUCUAAAGGACAAGUCAAAUACACAAAGUUCUUUCUAUAAACCUAUUAAACUCUAACAGUAAAUAUAAACCUACAAGUAAGAAGAGGCGCCCAUAUAAGGGUGUAACUUGACCUAAUAACGAUACUAAGCCAACUAAGUCUGUAUAACAUAGAACUUACCGAAAGUGGCGACCCGUUUAGUUCGCUACCUUCUUAGUACCGUGAACACUACAAUAGACGAUGAGUAAACGCCCGGAACGCCAACAGCAAGAGUACCGAGACGGUAAGCGCAAAUACGUCCGACUCCUCCGCUCGGUAGUCACACUCAAAGUCCUUCUCUACUGUUGUGUUCACUAGAACUAACCAUUGUACAAACCUUAACAACACGUACGUACCAUGCUUGUACACGUUGUGAUUGUUUUGCUUUUGUUUUCACUCGAACACCAAACGCCACGAAAGGGAGACUUAAAAGAGUAAUCAUACAGGUCUUUCCGUAUAAUCACCUUCUCGUAUGUUCUUUUGGAAUUGUACAAUCCUUGAAAAAGUACAUGAUCUUCCAACAACAUGUCUUUAAAAGAAGACUUUGGUAGAGUAUUAGAAUCUAAAGGGUAAUCAACCAACAACCAGUCAAGAUUUUGAUAGACAUGUAAAACGGGUUCCUUAAACAAAAGAAUAUCAAGUAACUAAUAAAACCUAAUUGACUUACACUAGAAGGGUUAGAUUAUAUACAUGAAAAUCGAGAUUCCUGAUCGUUCUGAAUUACUACGUCCAACACUAACACUUACUUCAUGGUCAACAACGAUUAAAGCAUAAAAACAAACAUGUUGAGUCCACAAACUACGUAAAGAAGAGGUCUUUUCCCUAUUCAUAGACUCCAGUAUAGCCUAGCUCACUAUCGUCUCCCAGAGUCCGGACUACUUAGCUUACAACUGCACCCUGGUCAAAAACACUACAGGUCGAGUAGCAGGUGACUCCGUGGCGUCUUCUACCAGGUUCCGUUUCAAUCCGUAGAAGGACAUCACACCAGUUACGGUACAACCUGUGACGGUUCAAGGAGACACUACGUUAAAGUUCUUACCUUUUCCAUCGUCUUGUUCCGUCACGAUAUCGUUGACGACACCUUCCCCAGCUACCCCUUUAUCUAAACGUCUAUAUCAGAAAAGGUCAAAGAGUUCCGGUGGGUACUGUAUAAGAUAAGUCCGGAGAAACUAAUUGAUCGACUACAAUAUAAAACCCAGGAAGUCCAGGAGUGUGUGAGUAUCUUUUAGAAGCUCUAGUAUACAAGUUCGGAAGGAACAAACAGGUGAUAGUACUAACUUUUAUCGUCCAUUUAACCAUGACGGUUCUUAUGUAUACUACGCUUUUAAAACAUACUGACUUGGUAAA